UACAGAGGCCUCGAGCGUUAGGCGGAAUCACUGGGCUUAAAGCGUGUGUAGGCGGACUUCUAAGUACCUUGUGAAAUCCCACGGCUCACCCGUGGAACUGCUCGGUAUACUGGUCGUCUUGAGCCUUCUAGGGGCGAGUGGAACAAAUGGUGGAGCGGUGAAAUGCGUAGAUAUCGUAAGGAAGACCAGUGGCGAAGGCGGGUCUCUGGACAGUUCCUGACGCUGAGGCACGAAGGCCAGGGGAGCAAACGGG
rnacentral:rRNA from 1 species